GGAGGGUGCAAGCGUUAAUCGGAAUUACUGGGCGUAAAGCGCACGCAGGCGGUUUGUUAAGUCAGAUGUGAAAUCCCCGGGCUCAACCUGGGAACUGCAUCUGAUACUGGCAAGCUUGAGUCUCGUAGAGGGGGGUAGAAUUCCAGGUGUAGCGGUGGAAUGCGUAGAGAUCUGGAGGAAUACCGGUGGCGAAGGCGGCCCCCUGGACGAAGACUGACGCUCAGGUGCGAAAGCGUGGGGAGCAAACAGGAUUAGAUACCCUGGUAGUCCACGCCGUAAACGAUGUCGACUUGGAGGUUGUGCCCUUGAGGCGUGGCUUCCGGAGCUAACGCGUUAAGUCGACCGCCUGGGGAGUACGGCCGCAAGGUUAAAACUCAA
rnacentral:rRNA from 1 species